rnacentral:rRNA from 1 species
UCAAAGAGGGGGACAACAGUUGGAAACGACUGCUAAUACCGCAUAAGCCCACGGGUCGGCAUCGACCAGAGGGAAAAGGAGCAAUCCGCUUUAAGAUGGCCUCGCGUCCGAUUAGCUAGUUGGUGAGGUAACGGCCCACCAAGGCGACGAUCGGUAGCCGGACUGAGAGGUUGAACGGCCACAUUGGGACUGAGACACGGCCCAGACUCCUACGGGAGGCAGCAGUGGGGAAUAUUGCACAAUGGGGGAAACCCUGAUGCAGCGACGCCGCGUGGAGGAAGAAGGUCUUCGGAUUGUAAACUCCUGUUGUUGAGGAAGAUAAUGACGGUACUCAACAAGGAAGUGACGGCUAACUACGUGCCAGCAGCCGCGGUAAAACGUAGGUCACAAGCGUUGUCCGGAAUUACUGGGUGUAAAGGGAGCGCAGGCGGGAAGACAAGUUGGAAGUGAAAUCCAUGGGCUUAACCCAUGAACUGCUUUCAAAACUGUUUUUCUUGAGUAGUGCAGAGGUAGGCGGAAUUCCCGGUGUAGCGGUGGAAUGCGUAGAUAUCGGGAGGAACACCAGUGGCGAAGGCGGCCUACUGGGCACCAACUGACGCUGAGGCUCGAAAGUGUGGGUAGCAAACAGGAUUAGAUACCCUGGUAGUCCACACCGUAAACGAUGAUUACUAGGUGUUGGAGGAUUGACCCCUUCAGUGCCGCAGUUAACACAAUAAGUAAUCCACCUGGGGAGUACGACCGCAAGGUUGAAACUCAAAGGAAUUGACGGGGGCCCGCACAAGCAGUGGAGUAUGUGGUUUAAUUCGACGCAACGCGAAGAACCUUACCAAGUCUUGACAUCCUGUGAAGACGUAGAAAUACGUUCUUCCUUCGGGACACAGAGACAGGUGGUGCAUGGUUGUCGUCAGCUCGUGUCGUGAGAUGUUGGGUUAAGUCCCGCAACGAGCGCAACCCUUAUGGUCAGUUACUACGCAAGAGGACUCUGGCCAGACUGCCGUUGACAAAACGGAGGAAGGUGGGGAUGACGUCAAAUCAUCAUGCCCUUUAUGACUUGGGCUACACACGUACUACAAUGGCGUUAAACAAAGAGAAGCAAGACCGCGAGGUGGAGCAAAACUCAGAAACAACGUCCCAGUUCGGACUGCAGGCUGCAACUCGCCUGCACGAAGUCGGAAUUGCUAGUAAUCGUGGAUCAGCAUGCCACGGUGAAUACGUUCCCGGGCCUUGUACAC